rnacentral:rRNA from 1 species
UACGUAGGGUGCAAGCGUUGUCCGGAAUCAUUGGGCGUAAAGCGCGCGUAGGCGGCCCGAUAAGUCCGCUGUAAAAGUCAACGGCUCAACUGUUGAACGCCGGUGGAUACUGUCGGGCUAGAGUACGGAAGAGGCAAGUGGAAUUCCUGGUGUAGCGGUGGAAUGCGUAGAGAUCCGGAAGAACACCGGUGGCGAAGGCGGCCUGCUGGGCAGUUGCUGACACUGAGGCGCGACAGCGUGGGGAGCAAACAGG